rnacentral:rRNA from 1 species
UACAGAGGUGGCAAGCGUUGUUCGGAAUUACUGGGCGUAAAGGGCUCGUAGGCGGCCAACUAAGUCGGACGUGAAAUCCCCAGGCUCAACCUGGGAACUGCGUCCGAUACUGGAUGGCUUGAAUCCGGGAGAGGGAUGCAGAAUUCCAGGUGUAGCGGUGAAAUGCGUAGAUAUCUGGAGGAAUACCGGUGGCGAAGGCGGCAUCCUGGACCGGUACUGACGCUGAGGAGCGAAAGCGUGGGGAGCAAACAGG